CCUAUUGCUAUCGGGGCGAGACUAAGCCAUGCAAGUUGUGCGAUCCCUAGCUAUGUUGGGAGAGCAGCGAACAGCUCAGUAACACGUAGUCAACCUACCCUUAGGACGGAAAUAACUCCGGGAAACUGGGGCUAAUAUCCGAUAGAUGGAAACGCCUGGAAUGGUCUUCCGUUGAAAGGUUCUUGGGAGCAUGCUCCUAAGAAUGCCUAAGGAUGGGACUGUGGCCGAUCAGGCAGUUGGUAGGGUAACGGCCUACCAAACCUAUAACCGGUACGGGCCCUGAGAGGGGGAGCCCGGAGAUGGGAACUGAGACAGGGUCCCAGGCCCUAAGGGGCGCAGCAGGCGCGAAACCUCCGCAAUGCGCGAAAGCGUGACGGGGUUACCCCGAGUGCCGUCCGAUGAGGAUGGCUUUUUUCUAGUGUAAGUAGCUGGAGGAAUAAAGGGGGGGCAAGACUGGUGUCAGCCGCCGCGGUAAUACCAGCCCCCUGAGUGAUAGGGACGAUUAUUUAGCCUAAAGCGUCCGUAGCCGGCUUAGUAAGUCUCUCGUUAAAUCUGGCGACUUAAUCGUCCAGGCCGCGGGAGAUACUGUUAGGCUAGAGGGCGGGAGAGGUUGACGGUAUUCCCGGAGUAGGGGUGAAAUCCUAUAAUCCCGGGAGGACCACCAGUGGCGAAGGCGGUCAACUGGAACGCGCCUGACGGUGAUGGACGAAAGCUGGGGGAGCGAACCGGAUUAGACACCCGGGUAGUCCCAGCCGUAAACGAUGCGGGCUAGGUG
rnacentral:rRNA from 1 species